AAUGGCGAAUGAACAUGGACUGGCUCAGUGUGGUAACCGGGGCCUGUGGCCCUGACUUGUAGCCUCGAGGUGCGUUGCCAGCAUGAGGUUGCUGAUGGGUGCCUUCUGGAAAGGAGUAUCAGUGAGGGUGAGAACCCCAUGUGUCAUUUGUAGCCCCUCGUGCACGGCAUGCGCUGCAGGAGUCACGCUUCUCAGGCCUGGAGCACGAAUCGGGUGGCAACCUCCAUCUGCAGCUGAAUAUCAACCCAAUGUCGAGAGCAAACACGUACCCUGAGGGGAAGGUGAAUAAGGACUUUGUGAAGAGAGUUAACAGUGCCUGAACUUGCUGAAAGUAAAGCAUACUACGUCAAAGUAAUUUGGUGGGAUUGCUUCGGGUGACCCGGUCUGAAACACGGACCAAGGAGUCUAAUCAUGUGCAAGCUGGUUGGUGCAAACCCUGGUUGAGCAGUAAAAGCAAAUCCUGGUAUCCAUUUGUCAGUGGCCGACCCAUCAGUUAAGGAUGAGUUCGAGUAUGAGUGUGAGUGCUAGGACCCGAAAGAUGGUGAACUAUGCCUGUGAAGAGCAAACGCAGGGGAAACCCUGAUGGAGGCCCGCCGUGUUACUGACGUGCAAAUCGUUCGCCAUACAUGGGCAUGGGGGCGAAAGACUAAUCGAACCAUCUGGUAGCUGGUUACCUCCGAAGUUUCCCUCAGGAUAGCUGGAGCUGGACAGCUUCACCAGGUAAAGCGAAUGUCUAGAGGAAGUGGGGGCAUGCUGCCCUUGGCCUACUCUCAAACUUUAAAUGGGUGAGGUUCAGUGGUUGCUUGUGUGAUCCACUUAGCAAGUUGCAGCUCCAGGUGGACCAUUUUUGGUAAGCAGAACUGGUGAUGAGGGAUGAACCUAACAUUGGGUUAAGGCACUUCACUGCUUGCCUAGCAGAUACCAUAAAAGGUGUUGGUUCAUUUCAACAGUAGGACAGUGGUCAU
rnacentral:rRNA from 1 species